AGCUAAUAGAUACCCUGGUAGUCCACGCCCUAAACGAUGUCUACUAGUUGUUGGUGGAGUAAAAUCCAUGAGUAAACGCAGCUAACGCGUGAAGUAGACCGCCUGGGGAGUACGGUCGCAAGAUUAAAGCUCAAAGGAAUUGACGGGGGCCCGCACAAGCGGUGGAUUAUGUGGAUUAAUUCGAUGCAACGCGAAAACCUUACCUGGCCUUGACAUGCCACUAACGAAGCAGAGAUGCAUUAGGUGCCCGUAAGGGAAAGUGGACACAGGUGCUGCAUGGCUGUCGUCAGCUCGUGUCGUGAGAUGUUGGGUUAAGUCCCGCAACGAGCGCAACCCUUGCCAUUAAUUGCCAUCAUUUAGUUGGGCACUUUAAUGGGACUGCCGGUGACAAACCGGAGGAAGGUGGGGAUGACGUCAAGUCCUCAUGGCCCUUAUGGCCAGGGCUUCACACGUAAUACAAUGGUCGGUACAGAGAGUUGCCAACCCGCGAGGGGAGCUAAUCUCAGAAAGCCGAUCGUAGUCCGGAUUGUUCU
rnacentral:rRNA from 1 species